AUUGAACGCUGGCGGCAUGCCUUACACAUGCAAGUCGAACGGUAACAGGUCUUCGGAUGCUGACGAGUGGCGAACGGGUGAGUAAUACAUCGGAACGUGCCUAGUAGUGGGGGAUAACUACUCGAAAGAGCGGCUAAUCCCGCAUGAGAUCUACGGAUGAAAGGAGGGGAUCGCAAGAACUUGUGCGACUAGAUCGGCCGAUGGCAGAUUAGGUAGUUGGUGGGAUAAAAGCUUACCAAGCCGACGAUCUGUAGCUGGUCUGGGAGGACGAUCAGCCACACUGGGACUGAGAAACGGCCCAGACUCCUACGGGAGGCAGCAGUGGGGAAUUUUGGACAAUGGGCGCAAGCCUGAUCCAGCAAUGCCGCGUGCAGGAUGAAGGCCUUCGGGUUGUAAACUGCUUUUGUACGGAACGAAAAGCCCCGGGUUAAUACCCUGGGGUCAUGACGGUGCCGUAAGAAUAAGCACCGGCUAACUACGUGCCAGCCGCCGCGGUAA
rnacentral:rRNA from 1 species